UUUUACAAAUAAUGACCGUAGAUAUCUGAUUUCGGGCUAGCGAAAUGGCUACCGGACCAGUGGACUCACCAUACCGUAUCGAAAGUCGAAGGAACAUUCGGUUAUCUUCCGCCAGAGUUCUUCAUGCACGGGAUAGUAGACGAAAAAACAGACGUAUAUGCUUAUGGUGUCCUGCUUCUUGAGCUCAUUACCGGUAAACAAGCCCUUGACAGCUCACAACAUAGCCUUGUCAUGUGGGCCAAACCAUUGAUCAAAGAGAAGAAGAUCAAACAACUUGUUGAUCCGAUUCUGGGAGAUGCC